rnacentral:rRNA from 1 species
UACGUAGGGCGCAAGCGUUGUCCGGAAUUAUUGGGCGUAAAGAGCUCGUAGGCGGUCUGUCGCGUCCGUUGUGAAAACUCGGGGCUCAACCCCGAGCCUGCUUCCGAUACGGGCAGACUAGAGGUAUGCAGGGGAGAAUGGAAUUCCUGGUGUAGCGGUGAAAUGCGCAGAUAUCAGGAGGAACACCCGUGGCGAAAGCGGCUCUCUGGGACGGUACUGACGCUGAGACGCGAAAGCGUGGGGAGCAAACAGG